GCCCUCCAGCUCCCUUUCCCGUCAGAUCUGAACACUGGUCUUGGUGGUCCUAAAGGAGGAAAAGAAUGCUGAAGCUGGCCUCCCAGCCUUCUAGUUUGGUAUAUAGCAUGUGGGCUAGUUUCAAACAAGG
ensembl:snoRNA